AGGGGGGGUGAAUUGGAUUUUAAAAUAAUUAUUGCAAUUAAAAGACUUUGUGAGUAACUAAUUAAAACUUUUGUGAGUGGAUUAAUUAGUUGCUGUAUGCAGUGGAUGAAGGGAAAGAAAGAGACAAUGAAACAAUCACAAACACAAGCAAUUUUAUAGUGGUUCGGAGCUAACCCUUGCUCCUACGUCCACUCCCCAAGCCUCACUUGGGAGUUCACUAUAAUCCCUCGGAUUACAGCCGGUUGUUUCACAAGUUCAN
rnacentral:lncRNA from 1 species